UGUGUCUGGGAUCCCACACAUGCACAGGGUGAGAAGACUCACGUGUCCGGCGUGUGCCCAGGUCUGGGAGGGAGCUGGCCAGCCAGAGCAGAGCCAGCCCUGCCCUUCCUCCAUGGGAGCUGCGCCCACGGCACCCCAGGACUUCUGCACGGCAGGAAAGCGCCUCUCACCGGAUCUCUCGGUGAGCUGUGUUUUAUUCUGCGGAAAUGUUUAGGAUUUCAAGUCUGGAGACGGCAUCCCAAGAAACCCUGAGAGAGCUCCUGCGAGCAGUACACAAGGCUUCAGACGUUCACUGAUGCAAAGUCGCUGCACGUCUUCUCAAGCGUUUCCGACACGCAGGAUCCUGGGCAGAGGGCUCCACGACCCGCCUGCGUGCUCAGCACAGACGCCAGUGAGGUGACACCACCUCAGACACUGCUUCACGCGUGGGCAUCACAUGUACACUGAUGCACACGUGUUCCAUCCUGUCCGACUCUGUGCGACCCUGUGGACUGCAGCCCGCCAGGCUCCUCUGUCCACGGGGUUCUCCAGGCAAGAGUCCUGGAGUGGACGCCAUGCCCUCCUCCAGGGGAGCUUCCCAACCCGGAGAUCGAACCCUUAUCUCCGGCAUCGGCGGGCGGAUUCUUCACCACUGAGCCACCUGGGAAGCCUCCGCCUGCUGAUAAGUUCCCUGCUAUGAAGACAAUGCCUGGAGCCGCUUAACCGAUAGAGGAGUUCCCCGGCCAGCAGCCGUAUCUGGUCUCAUCACAUCUACUCCUCAGUCUACAACGACCCGGCUGAGGACCCGGCCUCCUGCCUCCUGAGGAACCGGCCGCAGUCCCAGCAGCCACAUCUGGCAGGGCCCAGAGGUCAAGUCUAAAAGUCUGAGCUCUUAGUGAACAGCCUUUAUACAAACAUAAAGUAUCUUGAGUGCUUUAUCAAGAACUCCGCCCUUUUAAAAGCUGGGGUGGCCCUCUCUGUGAUUCUCUGCUCUGUGCCCUCUGACCCAUCCCGCGGUCUGCCAGGGCACGUCUGGCUCUUACAACUGGGGAUCUCACUUCCUUACACGUUCUGUCAUGUUUUCACGAUGGCUCAUCACUUGCUGCAACGUUUUCCGUCAGAUUCCCUCGAAGCCUUGCUGCGUAGGUUCUCCCGAACAGGAUGUGUGUUCACCUCUCGCAGAAAUCAGAGGGGAGAGGGCACUGCCUGUCAGCAACCGUUUUAAAUGGAAGUCCUCAGACGUCCCUGGGGGUCCAGUGGUUGAGGAUCCACCGUGCAAUGCCGGGGACACCGACCUGAUCCCUGGUGCCACGGGGGAGCUCAGCCCGUGUGCCCCAACUACUGAGCCCGUGUGUAGAGCCGGGGCCGUGGAGAGAAGCAUCGCAAUGAGAAGGCCAUGGGCCGCGACCAGAGAGGAGCCUCCAAUCACCACGACUAGAGAGUUGCCUGCACUCACAACUAGAAAGGGCUCCCUACUCAUCACAACUAGAGCAAGGCCACGCAUGGCAGUGAAGACCCA